rnacentral:lncRNA from 1 species
GCACAGCGGCGGCGCAGGCGCGGAGAGGCGCACAGCGCAGGCGCUGGCGCGGAGAGGCGCAGGCCCAGGUCCACUCCCCAGCUGUGAAAGGAGGAGCUCUACGGUGACUUUGAAGACUUGGAAACAGGGGACAUGCACAAGGGAAAAUCGGGCCCCGACACUCAGAAUGAAGAUAUAGAGAAACAAGGAAGAAAUUGACCCCGACGAAGAAGAAAGUGCCAAGAAAAAGCAUUUGGAUAAGAAGAGAAAAUUGAAGGAGAUGUUUGAUGCGGAAUAUGAUGAAGGAGAAAGCACAUAUUUUGAUGAUCUUAAAGGAGAAAUGCAGAAAGAAGCACAGAGAGAAGCAGAGAAAUGAAGCAGUUUUUGGUGGAAGAAGUGGAAUCAAAAGGUUUUGAGCUGAAUCACGUAGAAUUUGAAGAUCAAGAUGAUGAAGCCAGAGUUCAGUAUGAUGGUUUUCGACCUGGGAUGUACGUCCGCGUUGAGAUUGAAAAUGUUCCCUGUGAAUUUGUGCAGAACUUUGACCCCCAUUACCCCAUUAUCCUGGGUGGCUUGGGCAACAGCGAGGGAAAUGUUGGACACGUGCAGAUGCGUCUGAAGAAACAUCGCUGGUAUAAGAAAAUCCUCAAGUCCCAAGAUCCAAUCAUAUUUUCUGUAGGGUGGAGGAGGUUUCAGACCAUCCUGCUCUAUUAUAUUGAAGACCACAAUGGAAGACAAAGGCUUCUAAAGUAUACCCCACAGCACAUGCAUUGUGGAGCAGCCUUUUGGGGUAAAAUAUGAUUACAAUAACUUGCCUAUUGCCGAGAUUAAACUUUACAGGCUGCGUUAUUUUAGCUUUGUGCUUUUCCUUUCAUAAAAUUCCACUCCUAAGAUGUUUCUGUUUUCUGGGAGCGGGGAGGUGGUUUGGAGUAUAUAUGUAAAUCUAUAUCCAAAUCUAAAUGUCCGUAUCCAGUAUGUUAAACUAGAAUCUAAAAUUUCUGGUUUGCUAUAUUUCUUUUUUUCCUUUUCCUUUAAGACCCUAUCACUCCACAGGGAACUGGUUUCUUGGCAAUACAGUCUGUCAGUGGCAUAAUGGUAACUAUCUUGGACAAUUUCUUUUACAGAUUGGUUUGAGAAAUAUAUCCUGAAUGUGGGUUAUUAUGUACAUGAGACUUUAAGUUGAAAAUUACUCAUUUUUAUUAUUAUAAAGUAAAUUUCCCUUUGCUUUUAA